rnacentral:rRNA from 1 species
UAGCCGUAAACGAUACUCGCUAGGUGUCGGCCACGGUGCGACCGUUGUCGGUGCCGUAGGGAAGCCGUGAAGCGAGCCACCUGGGAAGUACGGCCACAAGGCUGAAACUUAAAGGAAUUGGCGGGGGAGCACAACAACGGGUGGAGCUUGCGGUUUAAUUGGAUUCAACGCCGGAAAUCUUACCGGGACCGACAGCAACAUGAAGGCCAAGCUGAAGACUUUGCCGGAUUAGCUGAGAGGUGGUGCAUGGCGUAGUCGUGU